UGCAAGAUACCCAAAAACCUGCUGGCGGCUAAAUCAGCAAAACACGAUUACACUUAAUGACGGUUGCUUGUGGCUUAGAGUCGCAAUCAAUGCCAAUACAGCAAAGUGCCGAGUGCCAACUGCAACUAAUUUUUCGACUGA